GCACAAGCAGUGGAGUAUGUGGUUUAAUUCGAAGCAACGCGAAGAACCUUACCAGGUCUUGACAUCCGAUGCAUAGCACAGAGAUGUGUGAAAUCCUUCGGGACAUCGAGACAGGUGGUGCAUGGUUGUCGUCAGCUCGUGUCGUGAGAUGUUGGGUUAAGUCCCGCAACGAGCGCAACCCUUAUUGCCAGUUACUACGUUAAGAGGACUCCGGCGAGACUGCCGUUGACAAAA
rnacentral:rRNA from 1 species